rnacentral:rRNA from 1 species
ACUGUUAUAGCCGUUUCCGAAAAUCACAAUCCAAUAGGGAGUGCAAUUCUCCGCCCCCUCGGGACACCCGUAAUUGGAGUCGACAAUGGCGGGAGCGCUAUAGGAGUAUUCAAGGUCAUCGAUAUCCGCCUGGU